CCAACACCCCUCCCCUCUGAGCCCCUGCCUGCCUUGACAGCUCUAUCCACUACCAACUCCAAGGAGUUUGUUUUCAAGUCUCAGUUCUUGGCCGCCUUCAGGCUGGAUACGUUGAAUGAACACCAGAUCCUAUCUGCCAAUAAAUAUUCAGGACAAAACAGCAAAUAUGACCUGCCCUCCCUGUGCACAGAAAUCACUGCCUACGGACAUACUGCAGUUCAAAAGGACCGCUGCUAGGCUGCCCUUUUCAAUACAGCACCAGGGAGACCACAGCCAUCCAUAAGGGCCCACUUGUGAGCUGAGACAGCUCUUCCCUGCAGAAGGGGCCAGCAGGACAUUUUUCAAGUGCAGUUGCUUUCCACGGAAACAGACAGGCAGUUCGAGAGCCUCGUUCUUCCUCUCUCUUUCUGUGAGAGCCAGACAACUUCAGACAUUCAGUUUGGUUUCCUUCUGGUAUGGGCUGGCGUCUCAUGAGGACUUGGCCUCUAAGACCCACCGUUAUCACAUCCUGAAAUUCUGGCCAGUGGAACAUGAAGCACCCAGGCAGGACUAUUGGUUGGAUUCCAGAUGAUGUUGCAGACUGAUUUGCGUGCCACCUGGAUUCCCGUUAGAAUGGGAGUAAACUUGGAGGU
rnacentral:lncRNA from 1 species